UGGGGGAUAUUGCACAAUGGGCGAAAGCCUGAUGCAGCGACGCCGCGUGGGGGAUGAAGGCCUUCGGGUUGUAAACUUCUUUUGCUCUGAACAAGGCGCACCAUGGGGUGUGAUGAGUGUCGGGGUUGAUUAGCGCCGGCUAACUACGUGCCAGCAGCCGCGGUAAUACGUAGGGCGCGAGCGUUGUCCGGAAUUAUUGGGCGUAAAGGGCUUGUAGGUGGCUGGUUGCGUCGGUCGUGAAAGCUCAUGGCUUAACUGUGGGUUUGCGGUGGGUACGGGCUGGCUUGAGUGCAGUAGGGGAGGCUGGAAUUCCUGGUGUAGCGGUGGAAUGCGCAGAUAUCAGGAGGAAUACCGGUGGCGAAGGCGGGUCUCUGGGCUGUUACAGACACUGAGGAGCGAAAGCAUGGGGAGCGAACAGG
rnacentral:rRNA from 1 species